rnacentral:rRNA from 1 species
AGAGCGAACGCUAGCGGCGGGCCUAACACAUGCAAGUCGAGCGCGUGGCUUCGGCCACGAGCGGCGGACGGGUGAGUAACACGUAGGUCAUUUACCCUCUGGUGGGGAAUAACCCGGGGAAACCCGAGCUAAUACCGCAUAUGGUCUUCGGAUCAAAGCCUUCGGGCGCCAGAGGAUGAGCCUGCGUCCCAUUACCUAGUUGGUAGGGUAACCGGCCGUACCAAGGGGACGAUGGGUAGCUGAUCUGAGAGGAUGAUCAGCCACACUGGGACUGAGACCGACGGCCCAGACCUCCGUACGGGAGGCAGCGAGGUGGGAAUAUGCGCAAGUGGGACGAAACGCCUGACGCACGCGUACGCCGCGGUGGUGGACGU